AUGCUGAAUAAAUUAGUAUUCAAUCAAAAAACUAUGAAGGCAUUUUCUCAGUUCAUACGUUGUCAUACUUUCUUCAUGCUUCUUAGCAUUUUGCUUUGGCAGGGCAGCAUAAGCUUCUGUAUAUUUAUUUUUUAUAUUAAAUUAAAUUUUCGCAGCUGUUCAAAUGAACCUAGUAUACUAAUUGUUUUGUACAUGUCUCUUUCAGUUGUGGCCAUGCUGUUACGCAUCGUACUGUCAGCAGAAGCUUCGGAUGUCCAACGAUGCACAGGGGAGAGACAGCGUGAUGGCCAGUUCUACUUCAACAUGACGUAUGACCUUAAAGAGGGUGUUCAUGACUGUGAGACCCAAUGGGUCAUCAAUGGAAUUGUGGCAGGAAUUUCUCAUGCUGAUGGAAAAACGGAGUGCAUGCUCCCACUUGUAAAUGCAACAGCAAACACAGCCAUCUUACAGACCUGCCAUGAAAAACUGGAAUUCCUGCUCAUCUGCCCCUCUGCCGGCAUCAACAAAAAGGAACCGUGCUCUUGUGAUAUCACUUCUCCAACUACACUUCCUGAAGUGGGUUUGUCUGACUGGAGUGUUGGUGUUUGGAUUGGAGUGAGUGUGUUUGGGAUAAUGUUGGUGUCUUUGAUUGUCACCAUGCUUUAUAAGAAAAAAAAAAGGUCAGAAUAUGCUCUUAGUGGCCCAGGUCCUGCUGAAGAUGUCUGAUUCUG
ensembl:lncRNA